rnacentral:rRNA from 1 species
GGAUGCGAUUAUACCAGCAUUGACGCACCAAAUUCCAUCAGAACUUCAAAGUUAAGUGUGCUUGGGCGAGAGUAGUACUAGGAUGGGUGACCCCCUGGAAAGUCCUCGUGUUGCAUCCC